ensembl:lncRNA
UCAAGGUAUGACACACACAAAUGUGAUAAAUAACACUCAAAUAUUUAUACUUUAGCUUUUUCAGUGUGAAAUUAAUGAAAUUAUAUUUUAAAUCAUAAUUUAUAUAUUUUUUUUUUGUUUAAACAAAAUUAUAUUUUGUUUUAGAUCAUUUUAGAGUCUACAUUUUCCCCCAUUCUAUGUGUUAGUACAGCUAAAAGCACUGGAAACUUAAACACAACUUAAGCAAAUGUUUAAGGAUAAACCUAUUUUUAUAAACCUGUAGCACAGACUUCUUCCUGACUUUAGAAUUGUUGGACUAAGUGUUCAUACAGCAAUAUGGCUUAUUCUCACCAAGCUCGGCAUAAAAACCAGCACAAAUUAGCAACAAAAUGCAUCUUCGCUUGUGACCACAAAUGCAAGACAGCCAUGAUAUUUAGGUCUGUGUGCGACAGCAGGAGUAUGUGUACUCUCUCUGUGCUGCUGCAGACGGUAGCCCGGCGAGAACGGCGGCACCGUGAUGCCCCGGUGGUGACGGCCACCAAUGGGGAGAGAAAGAGCCAGUCGCCACGGGCGGACACAGAGAUGGUGCGCAUGAGGAAGGUCAGAGCUCGUUCCGUAUGGAUAUCGCAGCAUGAGGACGAUGCCAUUGUACUCAUCAUCUCCUCACUGCCCAUGUUUUACAACAAAAAAAUUAUUUUAUUUUUGUUUUCUCAUCUGCUUUGGCUGUAUCUUGCUUGCACUUGUAUGAGUGUGGCUGUACCAGACAGCACUGUAGCUGUCAGAUAUGAACCUAUUCAGGCAGCGACAGUGAGUCAGUACAAACUGAGGUUUACGGAAUGAGGAAAGUGUUCAAUAUGAGUGAAGUUCAAAUGAACUUUUGCAUUGUUAUUGUGGCAUUUACUCUAGCAUGCAUUGUCCCUGUCAUGCUCUGUCUUUUACAUAGACAAAAUCGUUUUUAGAAGAUAAACUGUGUUCUCCUGCUUCAAACCUGAGUUACUCCAACUCUAAAACCAACAACAAAAACUUUCAAUCAGACUUCAAUUUUUAAGACUAAAUCAAUUUAGAGAAACUUAUAAUUUAAAGCUUGUUCAAAACUGUAGAUCUGUCAACUGUAAUAUGCUCAUAAUGUAUAACAAAACUGCAGAACAAAUACAAUCAGUUGUUUGCACUUUAUACAGAUGCUG